rnacentral:rRNA from 1 species
AUGGCGGACGGCUCCAAGGACACCAGCAGGCGGCGGAAUCUAGCGGACAAGCUCACCGAAGACCUCCUCAUCGAGAUCCUGUCGCGCGUGCCGUACAGAUCGCUGUGCCGGUUCAAGUGCGUCUCCAAGCGGUGGCGCGGCAUCAUCUCCCACCCCGACAACCGCAAGGUGCUGCCGCAGUACCAUCUCCAAGAACUCGCCGGCUUCCUCUACAAGCGCCAGCACCCCGUCACGGGCUAUUUCUUAGGUCGCCACUUCGCCCAUGUCUCGGCGGGAGGCCGCCCUCGUAUCCGCCCUUCCCUCCCCUUCCUGCCUGACUGUCAUCAGUUCCACCUUCUGGACAGCUGCAACGGCCUACACCUCUGCCGCCGCUUCGAGACCGCUGAUUCGUGGGAAUUUGAUUACGUCGUGUGCAAUCCUGCCCGGCUUCUUUGGCAAUUGGCAGACAGCUCGCCUGGGUUUCGACCCGGCCGUCUCCUCGCACUUCCAUGUGUUCCACUUCCUGGAGCACCAAAUAGAUGGGACUAUGACAGUCAAGUCUGGGUCUUGAAGCACAGUGUGAGAUAUAUGCAUCUAUUUGGGGAGAAGUAUGCCCAUCAUGGAAGCCAGUAUCAUAUUGUCGCCCUCCACCCGCAACGAAACAUGAUUUUCUUAGCUUAUGGGCAUGACAAAAAACUCAUGUCUUAUGACAUCGAUAGUGGGAAAGUGCAGUUCAGCCAAGAUCUUGGACAUGAUUCCGUGCAACCCUACCUUCCUUAUGUUCCCUUGUACUCCGAGGAAUUGGCAGAUUGGCAGUGA